UAUAACAAUCACCCUUUGUGCAAAUCAAAUUUCUGCCACACAAAUGUUCACAUAAAUUGAAUUAAAGGGGAUUACAAAUACAAAGAAUGUAAAAUAGUCAUAUUUAGUCAAUACAAGUUUGGAUAAUUUUGAAAAUGAACCCUUCCAGCUUGGUAAAUUUUGCUCACUUUUUGUUUAUGUUUACAACUGUGUUGUCAACUCAAACAUCACGACUCUGAGGGACAGCAAAUCCAACAUAGCAUCUACUGAAACUACCAAUGACUGGCGAUAGAAACAAGUUUGCCAUUAAGUUGUUCAGGGCAUCACUGGAUAUUGUCCUAAUCUUGGAGAAUGCAAGGAUGAAUUCGCUGUGAAUGUGAAAAUGGUCGGGAACUUGGGAGGAAGUGAUGAAGAUCCUAAGGAAAAGAGGACAUGAGAACAGC
rnacentral:lncRNA from 1 species